rnacentral:rRNA from 1 species
UAACUGAAGAGUUUGAUCAUGGCUCAGAUUGAACGCUGGCGGCAGGCUUAACACAUGCAAGUCGAGCGGGGGAAGGUAGCUUGCUACCGGACCUAGCGGCGGACGGGUGAGUAAUGCUUAGGAAUCUGCCUAUUAGUGGGGGACAACAUCUCGAAAGGGAUGCUAAUACCGCAUACGUCCUACGGGAGAAAGCAGGGGAUCUUCGGACCUUGCGCUAAUAGAUGAGCCUAAGUCGGAUUAGCUAGUUGGUGGGGUAAAGGCCUACCAAGGCGACGAUCUGUAGCGGGUCUGAGAGGAUGAUCCGCCACACUGGGACUGAGACACGGCCCAGACUCCUACGGGAGGCAGCAGUGGGGAAUAUUGGACAAUGGGGGGAACCCUGAUCCAGCCAUGC